rnacentral:rRNA from 1 species
AAAGGUGACUAAAGCAGUGGGGUACACCUCUUACCAUUCCGAACAGAGAAGUUAAGCCCGCUAACGCCGAUGGUACUGCAGAAAUUGUGGGAGAGUAGGAAGUCGCCAUAC